UACAGAGGUCUCAAGCGUUGUUCGGAUUCAUUGGGCGUAAAGGGUGCGUAGGCGGCGCGGUAAGUCGGGUGUGAAAUCUCGGAGCUUAACUCCGAAACUGCAUUCGAUACUGCCGUGCUUGAGGACUGGAGAGGAGACUGGAAUUUACGGUGUAGCGGUGAAAUGCGUAGAUAUCGUAAGGAAGACCAGUGGCGAAGGCGGGUCUCUGGACAGUUCCUGACGCUGAGGCACGAAGGUCAGGGGAGCAAACGGGAUUAGAUACCCCGGUAGUCCUGACAGUAAACGGUGCACGUUUGGUGUGGGAGGAUUCGACCCCUUCUGCGCCGGAGCUAACGCGUUAAACGUGCCGCCUGGGGAGUACGGUCGCAAGAUUAAAACUCAAAGAAAUUGACGGGGGCCCGCACAAGCGGUGGAGUAUGUGGCUCAAUUCGAUGCAACGCGAAGAACCUUACCAGGCCUUGACAUGCAUUGCUAAGUUGGUGAAAGCCAGCGACUGGAGCAAUCCAGACCUUGCACAGGUGCUGCAUGGCUGUCGUCAGCUCGUGUCGUGAGAUGUUGGGUUAAGUCCCGCAACGAGCGCAACCCCUGUGAACUGUUGCCACGGAACCGAGAGGUUCCAGCACUCUGUUCAGACUGCCCCGCUCUAACGGGGAGGAAGGUGGGGACGACGUCAAGUCAGUAUGGCCCUUACGGCCUGGGCUGCACACGUACUACAAUGCCCAGCACAGAACGAUCCAAGACCGCGAGGUGGAGGAAAUCACUAAAACUGGGCCCAGUUCGGAUUGGGGUCUGCAACUCGACCCCAUGAAGUCGGAGUCGCUAGUAAUCGCGAAUCAGCAACGUCGCGGUGAAUACGUUCCCGGGCCU
rnacentral:rRNA from 1 species